rnacentral:rRNA from 1 species
AUUGAACGCUGGCGGCAGGCCUAACACAUGCAAGUCGAGCGAGCGGCGGACGGGUGGGUAAUGUAUUGUGACUGCCCGAUAGAGGGGGAUAACUACUGGAAACGGUGGCUACUACCGCAUACUGUCGCAUAACCCAUAUUGGAUUAGCUAGUAGGUGGGGUAAAGGCUCACCUAGGCGCCGAUCUCUAGCUGGUCUGAGAGGAUGAUCAGCCACACUGGGACUGAGACAUGGCACAGACUCUUACGGAGGCAGCAGUGGGGAAUAUUGCACAAUGGGCGAAAGCCUGAUGCAGCCAUGCCGCGUGUAUGAAGAAGGCCUUAGGGUUGUAAAGUACUUUCAGCUGGGAGGCGUUACCCGCAGAAGAAGCACCGGCUAACUCCGUGCCAGCAGCCGCGGUAAUAC